rnacentral:rRNA from 1 species
GAUGAACGCUGGCGGUGUGGAUAAGGCAUGCAAGUCAAACGGCUCGCAAGAGCAGUGGCGAACGAGGUAGUAACACGUGGGUACAUACUCCAAAGUCAGGAAUAACCAGUCGAAAGAUUGGAUAAUACUUGAUAAUGUCUUCGGACUAAAGAUUUAUCGCUUUGGAAAUGGCCUGCGGAGUAUCAGCUAGUUGGUAGGGUAAUGGCCUACCAAGGCUAUGACGCUUAGGGGGAGGGUG